CCUACGGGAGGCAGCAGUGGGGAAUUUUGCGCAAUGGGAGAAAUCCUGACGCAGCGACGCCGCGUGAGUGAUGAAGGCCUUCGGGUCGUAAAGCUCUGUCGGGUAGGAAGAAACUCUUGCCAACUAAUAAUUGGCAAGACCGACGGUACUACCAAAGGAAGCACCGGCCAACUCCGUGCCAGCAGCCGCGGUAAUACGGAGGGUGCAAGCGGUGUUCGGAAUUACUGGGCGUAAAGGGCCUGUAGGCGGCAAGAUAAGUUAAGGGUAAAAUCCCUGGGCUCAACCCAGGAAGGGCCUUUAAAACUGCCUUGCUUGAGUCCGGGAGAGGAAGGCGGAAUUCCCGGUGUAGGGGUGAAAUUCGUAGAUAUCGGGAAGAACACCAGUGGCGAGGGCGGCCUUCUGGACCGUUACUGACGCUGAGAGGCGAAAGCGUGGGGAGCAAACAGGAUUAGAUCCC
rnacentral:rRNA from 1 species